rnacentral:rRNA from 1 species
UACGUAGGGGGCAAGCGUUGUCCAGAUUUAUUGGGCGUAAAGAGCGUGUAGGCGGCUAAAUAGGUCCGUUGUGAAAACUCGAGGCUCAACCUCGAGAUGCCGAUGGAAACCAUUUGGCUAGAGUCCGGAAGAGGAGAGUGGAAUUCCCGGUGUAGCGGUGAAAUGCGCAGAUAUCGGGAAGAACACCCGUGGCUAAGGCGGCUCUCUAGUACGGUACUGACGCUGAGACGCGAAAGCGUGGGGAGCGAACAGG